GACGAACGCUGGCGGCGUGCUUAACACAUGCAAGUCGAACGGAAAGGCCCUGCUUUUGUGGGGUGCUCGAGUGGCGAACGGGUGAGUAACACGUGAGUAACCUGCCCUUGACUUUGGGAUAACUUCAGGAAACUGGGGCUAAUACCGGAUAGGGGCUCCUGCUGCAUGGUGGGGGUUGGAAAGUUUCGGCGGUUGGGGAUGGACUCGCGGCUUAUCAGCUUGUUGGUGGGGUAGUGGCUUACCAAGGCUUUGACGGGUAGCCGGCCUGAGAGGGUGACCGGCCACAUUGGGACUGAGAUACGGCCCAGACUCCUACGGGAGGCAGCAGUGGGGAAUAUUGCACAAUGGGCGGAAGCCUGAUGCAGCAACGCCGCGUGCGGGAUGACGGCCUUCGGGUUGUAAACCGCUUUCGCCUGUGACGAAGCGUGAGUGACGGUAAUGGGUAAAGAAGCACCGGCUAACUACGUGCCAGCAGCCGCGGUGAUACGUAGGGUGCGAGCGUUGUCCGGAUUUAUUGGGCGUAAAGGGCUCGUAGGUGGUUGAUCGCGUCGGAAGUGUAAUCUUGGGGCUUAACCCUGAGCGUGCUUUCGAUACGGGUUGACUUGAGGAAGGUAGGGGAGAAUGGAAUCCCUGGUGGAGCGGUGGAAUGCGCAGAUAUCAGGAGGAACACCAGUGGCGAAGGCGGUUCUCUGGGCCUUUCCUGACGCUGAGGAGCGAAAGCGUGGGGAGCGAACAGGCCUAGAUACCCUGGUAGUCCACGCUGUAAACGGUGGGUACUAGGUGUGGGGUCCAUUCCACGGGUUCCGUGCCGUAGCUAACGCUUUAAGUACCCCGCCUGGGGAGUACGGCCGCAAGGCUAAAACUCAAAGGAAUUGACGGGGCCCCGCACAAGCGGCGGAGCAUGCGGAUUAAUUCGAUGCAACGCGUAGAACCUUACCUGGGUUUGACAUGGAUCGGGAGUGCUCAGAGAUGGGUGUGCCUCUUUUGGGGUCGGUUCACAGGUGGUGCAUGCCUGUCGUCAGCUCGUGUCGUGAGAUGUUGGGUUAAGUCCCGCAACGAGCGCAACCCUUGUUCACUGUUGCCAGCACGUUAUGGUGGGGACUCAGUGGAGACCGCCGGGGUCAACUCGGAGGAAGGUGGGGAUGACGUCAAGUCCUCAUGCCCCUUAUGUCCAGGGCUUCACGCAUGCUACAAUGGCUGGUACAGAGAGUGGCGAGCCUGUGAGGGUGAGCGAAUCUCGGAAAGCCGGUCUCAGUUCGGAUUGGGGUCUGCAACUCGACCUCAUGAAGUCGGAGUCGCUAGUAAUCGCAGAUCAGCAACGCUGCGGUGAAUACGUUCCCGGG
rnacentral:rRNA from 1 species